GCCAGGUGUGGUGGCACAUACCUGUAAUCCUGGUGACUCUGGAGGCUGAGGCAGGAGGAUUACAAGUUUGAGGCCAGCCUCAACAAUUCAGCAAGACCCAGUAUCAA
rnacentral:sRNA from 1 species